rnacentral:lncRNA from 1 species
UACUCUCAUUCCCUCACUCUACUCUCAUUUUUUUUCCUCUGUUCUCCCCACAAACAUUUCAGGUUCACUUCCCACCAAAAAAAAAAAAAAAAUCUCUAUUUCUCUAUUUUUCUUUUAUUCUCUCUCUUUAUUUUGUGCCAACCAAUUCCAAUUCACCUUUUUCCGAGUCUCUCUCCCCCUUCUUCCAGAAAAUUGACCCUAAUCAGAUUGAUUUCGUUCUCUUCUUUCACCUUCUAUUUCGAUUUUUCGUGACACUUGUUUUGAUUAUCGCUGCGCGGUUUCGAGUAUCGGGAAAUUGUUUUGAGGAAUUUUGAUUAAGGUGUUAGGGUUUUGAUUCUUAGGUGCGUGAGUAUGAGGCUGAUGGAUGAGGUUGAGAAGGAGGAGGAGAAGGUAGUGGGGGAGGUUCAAGAUCAAUGGUGUCCGGUGGUGAAUGCUGGAUUCUCUUCGCCGU